rnacentral:piRNA from 1 species
UGAUCUUUCGGUACAGAAGUUCCCAAGCUCC